GGUCAAGUGAAGAAGCGCAUACGGUGGAUGCCUUGGCAGUCAGAGGCGAUGAAAGACGUGGUAGCCUGCGAAAAGCUUCGGGGAGUCGGCAAACAGACUUUGAUCCGGAGAUGUCUGAAUGGGGGAACCCAGCCAUCACAAGAUGGUUAUCUUGUACUGAAUACAUAGGUGCAAGAGGCGAACCAGGGGAACUGAAACAUCUAAGUACCCUGAGGAAAAGAAAUCAACCGAGAUUCCCUUAGUAGUGGCGAGCGAACGGGGACUAGCCCUUAAGUGGCUUUGAGAUUAGCGGAACGCUCUGGAAAGUGCGGCCAUAGUGGGUGAUAGCCCUGUACGCGAAAAUCUCUUAGUCAUGAAAUCGAGUAGGACGGAGCACGAGAAACUUUGUCUGAAUAUGGGGGGACCAUCCUCCAAGGCUAAAUACUACUGACUGACCGAUAGUGAACUAGUACCGUGAGGGAAAGGCGAAAAGAACCCCGGAGAGGGGAGUGAAAUAGAUCCUGAAACCGUAUGCGUACAAGCAGUGGGAGCAGACUUUGUUCUGUGACUGCGUACCUUUUGUAUAAUGGGUCAGCGACUUAUUUUCAGUGGCGAGCUUAACCGAAUAGGGGAGGCGUAGCGAAAGCGAGUCUUAAUAGGGCGUCUAGUCGCUGGGAAUAGACCCGAAACCGGGCGAUCUAUCCAUGGGCAGGUUGAAGGUUAGGUAACACUGACUGGAGGACCGAACCGACUACCGUUGAAAAGUUAGCGGAUGACCUGUGGAUCGGAGUGAAAGGCUAAUCAAGCUCGGAGAUAGCUGGUUCUCCUCGAAAGCUAUUUAGGUAGCGCCUCAUGUAUCACUGUAGGGGGUAGAGCACUGUUUCGGCUAGGGGGUCAUCCCGACUUACCAAACCGAUGCAAACUCCGAAUACCUACAAGUGCCGAGCAUGGGAGACACACGGCGGGUGCUAACGUCCGUCGUGAAAAGGGAAACAACCCAGACCGUCAGCUAAGGUCCCAAAGUUAUGGUUAAGUGGGAAACGAUGUGGGAAGGCUUAGACAGCUAGGAGGUUGGCUUAGAAGCAGCCACCCUUUAAAGAAAGCGUAAUAGCUCACUAGUCGAGUCGGCCUGCGCGGAAGAUGUAACGGGGCUCAAACCAUACACCGAAGCUACGGGUAUCACGUAAGUGAUGCGGUAGAGGAGCGUUCUGUAAGCCUGUGAAGGUGAGUUGAGAAGCUUGCUGGAGGUAUCAGAAGUGCGAAUGCUGACAUGAGUAACGACAAUGGGUGUGAAAAACACCCACGCCGAAAGACCAAGGUUUCCUGCGCAACGUUAAUCGACGCAGGGUUAGUCGGUCCCUAAGGCGAGGCUGAAAAGCGUAGUCGAUGGAAAACAGGUUAAUAUUCCUGUACUUCUGGUUAUUGCGAUGGAGGGACGGAGAAGGCUAGGCCAGCUUGGCGUUGGUUGUCCAAGUUUAAGGUGGUAGGCUGGAAUCUUAGGUAAAUCCGGGAUUCUAAGGCCGAGAGCUGAUGACGAGUUGCCUUUAGGCGACGAAGUGGUUGAUGCCAUGCUUCCAAGAAAAGCUUCUAAGCUUCAGAUAACCAGGAACCGUACCCCAAACCGACACAGGUGGUUGGGUAGAGAAUACCAAGGCGCUUGAGAGAACUCGGGUGAAGGAACUAGGCAAAAUGGCACCGUAACUUCGGGAGAAGGUGCGCCGGUGAGGGUGAAGCACUUGCUGCGUAAGCUCACGCCGGUCGAAGAUACCAGGCCGCUGCGACUGUUUAUUAAAAACACAGCACUCUGCAAACACGAAAGUGGACGUAUAGGGUGUGACGCCUGCCCGGUGCCGGAAGGUUAAUUGAUGGGGUUAGCUAACGCGAAGCUCUUGAUCGAAGCCCCGGUAAACGGCGGCCGUAACUAUAACGGUCCUAAGGUAGCGAAAUUCCUUGUCGGGUAAGUUCCGACCUGCACGAAUGGCGUAACGAUGGCGGCGCUGUCUCCACCCGAGACUCAGUGAAAUUGAAAUCGCUGUGAAGAUGCAGUGUAUCCGCGGCUAGACGGAAAGACCCCGUGAACCUUUACUAUAGCUUUGCACUGGACUUUGAAUUUGCUUGUGUAGGAUAGGUGGGAGGCUUUGAAGCGUGGACGCCAGUUCGCGUGGAGCCAUCCUUGAAAUACCACCCUGGCAACUUUGAGGUUCUAACUCAGGUCCGUUAUCCGGAUCGAGGACAGUGUAUGGUGGGUAGUUUGACUGGGGCGGUCUCCUCCUAAAGAGUAACGGAGGAGUACGAAGGUGCGCUCAGACCGGUCGGAAAUCGGUCGUAGAGUAUAAAGGCAAAAGCGCGCUUGACUGCGAGACAGACACGUCGAGCAGGUACGAAAGUAGGUCUUAGUGAUCCGGUGGUUCUGUAUGGAAGGGCCAUCGCUCAACGGAUAAAAGGUACUCCGGGGAUAACAGGCUGAUACCGCCCAAGAGUUCAUAUCGACGGCGGUGUUUGGCACCUCGAUGUCGGCUCAUCACAUCCUGGGGCUGAAGCCGGUCCCAAGGGUAUGGCUGUUCGCCAUUUAAAGUGGUACGCGAGCUGGGUUUAGAACGUCGUGAGACAGUUCGGUCCCUAUCUGCCGUGGACGUUUGAGAUUUGAGAGGGGCUGCUCCUAGUACGAGAGGACCGGAGUGGACGAACCUCUGGUGUUCCGGUUGUCACGCCAGUGGCAUUGCCGGGUAGCUAUGUUCGGGAAAGAUAACCGCUGAAAGCAUCUAAGCGGGAAACUUGCCUCAAGAUGAGAUCUCACUGGAACCUUGAGUUCCCUGAAGGGCCGUCGAAGACUACGACGUUGAUAGGUUGGGUGUGUAAGCGCUGUGAGGCGUUGAGCUAACCAAUACUAAUUGCCCGUGAGGCUUGACCAU
rnacentral:rRNA from 1 species